rnacentral:rRNA from 1 species
GGAAUUCCUGGUGUAGCGGUGAAAUGCGCAGAUAUCAGGAGGAACACCGAUGGCGAAGGCAGGUCUCUGGGCUGUAACUGACGCUGAGGAGCGAAAGCAUGGGGAGCGAACAGGAUUAGAUACCCUGGUAGUCCAUGCCGUAAACGUUGGGCACUAGGUGUGGGGGACAUUCCACGUUUUCCGCGCCGUAGCUAACGCAUUAAGUGCCCCGCCUGGGGAGUACGGCCGCAAGGCUAAAACUCAAAGGAAUUGACGGGGGCCCGCACAAGCGGCGGAGCAUGCGGAUUAAUUCGAUGCAACGCGAAGAACCUUACCAAGGCUUGACAUGAACCGGAAAGACCUGGAAACAGGUGCCCCGCUUGCGGUCGGUUUACAGGUGGUGCAUGGUUGUCGUCAGCUCGUGUCGUGAGAUGUUGGGUUAAGUCCCGCAACGAGCGCAACCCUCGUUCUAUGUUGCCAGCGCGUUAUGGCGGGGACUCAUAGGAGACUGCCGGGGUCAACUCGGAGGAAGGUGGGGACGACGUCAAAUCAUCAUGCCCCUUAUGUCUUGGGCUUCACGCAUGCUACAAUGGCCGGUACAAAGGGUUGCGAUACUGUGAGGUGGAGCUAAUCCCAAAAAGCCGGUCUCAGUUCGGAUUGGGGUCUGCAACUCGACCCCAUGAAGUCGGAGUCGCUAGUAAUCGCAGAUCAGCAACGCUGCGGUGAAUACGUUCCGGGGCUUGUACACACCGCCCGUCAGUCACGAAA